GGGAAUGUGGCUUAGUGGUAGAGUGCUUGCCUAGCAUGCAUGAGGUCCUGGGUUCAAUUCCCCAGCACCA
rnacentral:tRNA from 1 species